GGGUGCGUAACGCGUAUGUAACCUACCCCUAUCAGGGGGAUAGCCCUUCGAAAGGAGGAUUAAUACCCCAUAACAUACCCGGAGGCAUCUUUGGGUAUUAAAAGCUUUGGCGGAUAGGGAUGGGCAUGCGUCUGAUUAGCUAGUUGGUAGGGUAACGGCCUACCAAGGCGACGAUCAGUAGGGGGCCUGAGAGGGUGAUCCCCCACACUGGGACCGAGACACGGCCCAGACUCCUACGGGAGGCAGCAGUGAGGAAUAUUGGACAAUGGGUGCAAGCCUGAUCCAGCCAUCCCGCGUGCAGGAAGACUGCCCUAUGGGUUGUAAACUGCUUUUCUUGCGGAAUAAACCUACCCUCGUGAGGGUAGCUGAAGGUACGCAAGGAAUAAGCACCGGCUAACUCCGUGCCAGCAGCCGCGGUAAUACGGAGGGUGCGAGCGUUAUCCGGAUUUAUUGGGUUUAAAGGGUCCGUAGGCGGCCGAGUAAGUCAGUGGUGAAAUCCCAUAGCUCAACUAUGGAACUGCCAUUGAUACUGCUUAGCUAGAGUGUGGUUGAAGUAGCUGGAAUGUGUAGUGUAGCGGUGAAAUGCAUAGAUAUUACACAGAACACCAAUUGCGAAGGCAGGUUACUAAGCCACAACUGACGCUGAGGGACGAAAGCGUGGGGAGCAAACAGGAUUAGAUACCCUGGUAGUCCACGCCCUAAACGAUGCUUACUCGGUGUUGGCGCAUUAAGCGUCAGUG
rnacentral:rRNA from 1 species